AUGGACACGCGCAUUACGGAAUGCGUGAUUGAAAUCAUACGGUUACAAGGGGAGGAGCACGGUAAGGGUCAAGGGAGCGCGCAUACGGGAUUUUGUGGCAACAUUAUAUUUCCAUUUAAUCAAAACAAUUUUUUUAUGUUAUUAUCCUCUUCUCUCUCCGUGUCUCAAACUCAUUUCCUCUUUUCUUUCUUAACAACCCCCAAAUAG